UGAGGAACAUGACCUUCGGCGGGGGAUAGCCGGCCCAACGGCCGGGUAAUACCGCGUAUGACCACAUGGGGACAUCCCUGAGUGGUGAAAGCAGCAAUGCGCCGAUGGAGUGCCUCGCGGCCUAUCAGCUAGUUGGUGUGGGUAAUGGCCCACCAAGGCGAUGACGGGUAGCCGGCCUGAGAGGGUGACCGGCCACACUGGGACUGAGACACGGCCCAGCUCCGUAGGGACGG
rnacentral:rRNA from 1 species